rnacentral:lncRNA from 1 species
CAUCAUGAGAUAUGAUUUUAAAUCCAAAUCUUGCUUUUCAGGUGUGUUGGGGGUAUCCAGGACUGGCUGAGGUGGGAGUGCUGGGUUCUGAUGAUGGUGAGUGUUCUUGGUUUCCAUUAGUAAGAUUCUUAAGUUUGCCUUUUGCCAUCUGAUAAUCUCUGGCAUUAGUUGUUAUAGCUUUCUCUAGCUGGAGCCUGUUCCUCCUGUGUUUCUGUCAGCCUCUGUUCACAGUCCUGUGAGUCCAGCUCUCUCCUAAGUCUCAGUGGUCAGAGCACUCACUCCCCGCAGGCAAACUCUCCUCUUGCAGGGAAGGUGUAGAGAAGCCUAGCACCCAGAUCUGCCUCCUGGAUGAAGAUGAAGACCCGAAACAGGGUCUGUCCCAGAAGAUGUGUUGCCUCUGCAGUCUGCACACUCUCCAGCACAGACUGGUCUCUGAGGGACUUGGGACACAAGCUGUGAUUUUUCUUAUAUGUCAAGAAGAGUUCCUAGAAGGACUCAGUGACCUUUGAGGAUGUGGUUGUGUACUUUGCCAAAGAAGAGUGGAACUUACUGGAUGCAUUUCAGAGGAACCUCUACAGAGAUGUGAUGCUGGUGAACUACCAGAACCUGGCCACCCUGGGUAAGAGUGCCAUUAUCUCCUGUAGCCUCUUAAAGAAGAAAAGAUUGAUGGUAUUAACUCUGAAUAUAAUAGGAAAUAAUAGAGCUAUUGUCAUUGCCCCAGCACAUUUUAAUCUGUUAUUGGCAGCUGUCAAUAAGUGUGGCCUUAGAAUUGUCACUCUCACUUCCUUAGAAAUGCA